rnacentral:rRNA from 1 species
GACAGAGGCCUCAAGCGUUAGGCGGAAUCACUGGGCUUAAAGCGUGUGUAGGCGGAUCGUUAAGUGCCUUGUGAAAUCCCACGGCUCAACCGUGGAACUGCUUGGCAUACUGGCGGUCUUGAGCCAUCUAGGGGUCGCUGGAACAAACGGUGGAGCGGUGAAAUGCGUAGAUAUCGUUUGGAACGCCUAUGGUGAAAACAGGCGAUUGGGGAUGUGCUGACGCUGAGACACGAAAGCCAGGGGAGCAAACGGG